CCGAGUGAGGGCCCUCCGGGUCCAACCUCCCACCCGUGUUUACCGUACCUUGUUGCUUCGGCGGGCCCGCCGUAUGGCCGCCGGGGGGCUUCCGUCCCCGGGCCCGCGCCCGCCGAAGACACCUGUGAACGCUGUCUGAAGAUUGCAGUCUGAGCGAGAAGCGAAAUCGUUA
rnacentral:misc_RNA from 1 species